rnacentral:rRNA from 1 species
AACGAACGCUGGCGGCAUGCCUAACACAUGCAAGUCGAACGAGACCUUAGGGACAAGUGGCGCACGGGUGUGUAACGUGUGGGAACCUGCCGUUAGGUUCGGGAUAACUCCCCGAAAGGGGUGCUAAUACAGGGAAAUGUCUUCGGACAAAAGAUUUAUCGAAUUUGGAUGGGCACGCGUUGGAUUAGCUAGUUGGUAGGGUAAAAGCCUACGAAGGCGACGAUCCAUAGCUGGGCUGAGAGAAUGAUAAGCCACACUGGGACUGAGACACGGCCCGGACUCCUACAGAAGGCGGCAAAGGGGAAUAUGGGACAAUGGGCGAAAGCCUGAUCCACCAAUGCCGCGUAAGUGAUGAAGGCCUUAGGGUUGUAAAGCACGUUUACCCAGCGUGAUAAUGACAGUACCGAAAGAAUAAGCUCCGGCUAACUCCGUG